rnacentral:rRNA from 1 species
UACAGAGGUGGCGAGCGUUGUUCGGAUUAACUGGGCGUAAAGCGUGCGUAGGUGGUUUCGUAUGUCGGAUGUGAAAGCCCUCGGCUUAACCGUGGAAUUGCAUUCGAAACUGCGGAACUUGAGUGCAGGAGGGGAGAGCGGAAUUCUUGGUGUAGCGGUGAAAUGCGUUGAUAUCAAGAAGAACACCGGUGGCGAAGGCGGCUCUCUGGAAUGUAACUGACACUGAGGCACGAAAGCUGGGGGAGCAAACAGGAUUAGAUACCCUGGUAGUCCCAGCUGUAAACGGUGCGCACUUGGUGUGGGGGGAAUUGACCCCCUCCGUGCCGGAGCUAACGCGUUAAGUGCGCCGCCUGGGGAGUACGGCCGCAAGGCUAAA